ACACGUAGGUGGCAAGCGUUGUCCGGAAUUACUGGGCGUAAAGGGCGAGUAGGCGGCCAUGCAAGUCAGAUGUGAAAGGCUAGGGCUUGACCCUAACAUUGCAUUUGAAACUGUCGGGCUUGAGUGCAGGAGAGGUAAGUGGAAUUCCCAGUGUAGCGGUGAAAUGCGUAGAGAUUGGGAGGAACACCAGUGGCGAAGGCGACUUACUGGACUGUAACUGACGCUGAGGCGCGAAAGUGUGGGGAGCAAACAGGAUUAGAUACCCUGGUAGUCCACACUGUAAACGAUGAAUGCUAGGUGUAGGGGGUAUCGACCCCUUCUGUGCCGCAGUCAACACAAUAAGCAUUCCGCCUGGGGAGUACGGCCGCAAGGUUGAAACUCAAAUGAAUUGGCGGGG
rnacentral:rRNA from 1 species